CCCGACAUCGGAUGACUACGCCAUGCGAGUCAUUGUAGUAAUACAGGCAGACGGCUCAGUAACGCGUAGCCAUCCUACCCUAUGGACGGGAAUAACCUCGGGAAACUGAGAAUAAUGCCCGAUAGAACAUUAUGCCUGGAAUGGUUUAUGUUCCAAAUGAUUUAUCGCCGUAGGAUGGGACUGCGGCCUAUCAGUUUGUUGGUGAGGUAAUGGCCCACCAAGACUAUUACAGGUACGGGCUCUGAGAGGAGUGGCCCGGAGAUGGGUACUGAGACACGGACCCAGGCCCUAUGGGGCGCAGCAGGCGAGAAAACUUUGCAAUGUGCGAAAGCACGACAAGGUUAAUCCGAGUGGUUUCUGCUAAAGGAACCUUUUGUCGGUCCUAGAAACACCGAUGAAUAAGGGGUGGGCAAGUUCUGGUGUCAGCCGCCGCGGUAAAACCAGCACCUCAAGUUGUCAGGAUGAUUAUUGGGCCUAAAGCAUCCGUAGCCGGCUCUGUUAGUUUUCGGUUAAAUCUGUACGCUCAACGUACAGGCUGCCGGGAAUACUGCAGAGCUAGGGAGUGGGAGAGGUAGACGGUACUCGGUAGGAAGGGGUAAAAUCCUUUGAUCUAUUGAUGACCACCUGUGGCGAAGGCGGUCUACCAGAACACGUCCGACGGUGAGGGAUGAAAGCUGGGGGAGCAAACCGGAUUAGAUACCCGGGUAGUCCCAGCUGUAAACUAUGCAAACUCAGUGAUGCAUUGGCUUGUGGCCAAUGCAGUGCUGCAGGGAAGCCGUUAAGUUUGCCGCCUGGGAAGUACGUACGCAAGUAUGAAACUCAAAGGAAUUGACGGAAU
rnacentral:rRNA from 1 species